rnacentral:rRNA from 1 species
UACGAAGGGGGCGAGCGUUGUUCGGAAUUACUGGGCGUAAAGGGAGUGUAGGCGGUUAUGUAAGAUAGGGGUGAAAUCCCGGGGCUCAACCUCGGAAUUGCCUUUAUAACUAUGUAACUAGAGUAAUGGAGAGGAUAGUGGAAUACCCAGUGUAGAGGUGAAAUUCGUAGAUAUUGGGUAGAACACCGGUGGCGAAGGCGACUAUCUGGCCAUUUACUGACGCUGAGGCUCGAAAGCAUGGGGAGCAAAC